GGAUCCAGACUUUGAUUAUGGCUCAGGAUGAACGCUAGCUACAGGCUUAACACAUGCAAGUCGAGGGGCAGCAUGGUCUUAGCUUGCUAAGGCCGAUGGCGACCGGUGCACGGGUGAGUAACACGUAUCCAACCUGCCGUCUACUCUUGGACAGCCUUCUGAAAGGAAGAUUAAUACAAGAUGGCAUCAUGAGUCCGCAUGUUCACAUGAUUAAAGGUAUUCCGGUAGACGAUGGGGAUGCGUUCCAUUAGAUAGUAGGCGGGGUAACGGCCCACCUAGUCUUCGAUGGAUAGGGGUUCUGAGAGGAAGGUCCCCCACAUUGGAACUGAGACACGGUCCAAACUCCUACGGGAGGCAGCAGUGAGGAAUAUUGGUCAAUGGGCGAGAGCCUGAACCAGCCAAGUAGCGUGAAGGAUGACUGCCCUAUGGGUUGUAAACUUCUUUUAUAAAGGAAUAAAGUCGGGUAUGGAUACCCGUUUGCAUGUACUUUAUGAAUAAGGAUCGGCUAACUCCGUGCCAGCAGCCGCGGUAAUACGGAGGAUCCGAGCGUUAUCCGGAUUUAUUGGGUUUAAAGGGAGCGUAGAUGGAUGUUUAAGUCAGUUGUGAAAGUUUGCGGCUCAACCGUAAAAUUGCAGUUGAUACUGGAUAUCUUGAGUGCAGUUGAGGCAGGCGGAAUUCGUGGUGUAGCGGUGAAAUGCUUAGAUAUCACGAAGAACUCCGAUUGCGAAGGCAGCCUGCUAAGCUGCAACUGACAUUGAGGCUCGAAAGUGUGGGUAUCAAACAGGAUUAGAUACCCUGGUAGUCCACACGGUAAACGAUGAAUACUCGCUGUUUGCGAUAUACGGCAAGCGGCCAAGCGAAAGCGUUAAGUAUUCCACCUGGGGAGUACGCCGGCAACGGUGCAACUCAAAUGAAUUGACGG
rnacentral:rRNA from 1 species